rnacentral:rRNA from 1 species
UUUUAUUAUUAGUUUAGAUUUUUUAAUUUUUAGUUAAUUUAUUAAUAUUUUAUGAGAAAUUAUAAUUUAUAAGUAAUUAUGAUUAAAUUAGUAUAAGUUAUUGUGAAGUUUAUUAUUUAUUUUUAGGUUAAAUUAAGGAAUUCGGCAAAUUGAUUUUCUGCCUGUUUAUUAAAAACAUGUCUUUUUGUAAUUAUUUAAAGUCGGGCCUGCCCUAUGAUUAUUUAAAUGGCCGCGGUAUUUUGACCGUGCAAAGGUAGCAUAAUAAUUAGUUUCUUAAUUAGAAGCUGGUAUGAAUGGUUUGACAAGAAAAUUUCUGUCUCAAUUUAAUUAUUAGAAUUUAACUUUUGAGUUAAAAGGCUUAAAUGCUUUUAAAAGACGAGAAGACCCUAUAGAAUUUUACAUUUAAUUUGUUUAAGAUUUUAUGGAUUAUUUAUUUUUAAUUAAAUUGUUUGUUUUGUUGGGGUGAUGGAAAAACUAAAAUAACUUUUUCUUAUUUUAUUCAUUAAUUUAUGA